GGGGGCGUGGCGAAAUUGGUAGACGCACUGGAUUUAGGUUCCAGCGCCGCAAGGUGUAAGAGUUCGAGUCUCUUCGCCCCCCACCA
rnacentral:tRNA from 1 species